rnacentral:rRNA from 1 species
CCGUAACUAUAACGGUCCUAAGGUAGCGAAAUUCCUUGUCGGGUAAGUUCCGACCUGCACGAAUGGCGUAAUGAUGGCCAGGCUGUCUCCACCCGAGACUCAGUGAAAUUGAACUCGCUGUGAAGAUGCAGUGUACCCGCGGCAAGACGGAAAGACCCCGUGAACCUUUACUAUAGCUUGACACUGAACAUUGAGCCUUGAUGUGUAGGAUAGGUGGGAGGCUUUGAAGUGUGGACGCCAGUCUGCAUGGAGCCGACCUUGAAAUACCACCCUUUAAUGUUUGAUGUUCUAACGUGGACCCGUAAUCCGGGUUGCGGACAGUGUCUGGUGGGUAGUUUGACUGGGGCGGUCUCCUCCUAAAGAGUAACGGAGGAGCACGAAGGUUGGCUAAUCCUGGUCGGACAUCAGGAGGUUAGUGCAAUGGCAUAAGCCAGCUUGACUGCGAGCGUGACGGCGCGAGCAGGUGCGAAAGCAGGUCAUAGUGAUCCGGUGGUUCUGAAUGGAAGGGCCAUCGCUCAACGGAUAAAAGGUACUCCGGGGAUAACAGGCUGAUACCGCCCAAGAGUUCAUAUCGACGGCGGUGUUUGGCACCUCGAUGUCGGCUCAUCACAUCCUGGGGCUGAAGUAGGUCCCAAGGGUAUGGCUGUUCGCCAUUUAAAGUGGUACGCGAGCUGGGUUUAGAACGUCGUGAGACAGUUCGGUCCCUAUCUGCCGUGGGCGCUGGAGAACUGAGGGGGGCUGCUCCUAGUACGAGAGGACCGGAGUGGACGCAUCACUGGUGUUCGGGUUGUCAUGCCAAUGGCACUGCCCGGUAGCUAAAUGCGGAAGAGAUAAGUGCUGAAAGCAUCUAAGCACGAAACUUGCCCCGA